GGGGCUGAUUCUGGAUUCGACGGGAUUCGCGAAACCCAAGGUGCAUGCCGAGGGGCGGUUGGCCUCGUUAAAAGCCGCAA
rnacentral:tmRNA from 1 species